rnacentral:rRNA from 1 species
AUACGUAGGGGGCGAGCGUUGUCCGGAAUGAUUGGGCGUAAAGGGCGCGUAGGCGGCCCGGUAAGUCUGGAGUGAAAGUCCUGCUUUUAAGGUGGGAAUUGCUUUGGAUACUGUCGGGCUUGAGUGCAGGAGAGGUAAGUGGAAUUCCCAGUGUAGCGGUGAAAUGCGUAGAGAUUGGGAGGAACACCAGUGGCGAAGGCGACUUACUGGACUGUAACUGACGCUGAGGCGCGAAAGUGUGGGGAGCAAACAGGAUUAGAUACCCUGGUAGUCCACACUGUAAACGAUGAAUGCUAGGUGUAGGGGGUAUCGACCCCUUCUGUGCCGCAGUUAACACAAUAAGUAGUCCGCCUGGGGAGUACGGCCGCAAGGUUGAAACUCAAAGGAAUUGACGGGG